AACACAGCAGUACCCAAGUAUACACACAUGAAUUCCAGCUUGACAACUGGACUCUGUAGCUCAGUUCUGUUGGUUAGAAUGCUGCAAUUGCACCAGGAUUGCAGGGCCGCAGGGGCGAUUCCAGCCAGAGGACACAAUAAUAUUCAAAGUGUGUGAGCAACUAGCAGUCGGGAUGUACCUUUCAUAUCCCAUGCUACUUUCUGGGA